rnacentral:rRNA from 1 species
AUUGAACGCUGGCGGCAUGCUUUACACAUGCAAGUCGAACGGUAACAGGGAGCUUGCUCCGCUGACGAGUGGCGAACGGGUGAGUAAUGCGUCGGAACGUGCCGAGUAGUGGGGGAUAACGCAUCGAAAGGUGUGCUAAUACCGCAUACGUACUGAGGUAGAAAGUGGGGGACCUUCGGGCCUCACGCUAUUCGAGCGGCCGACGUCUGAUUAGCUAGUUGGUGAGGUAAAGGCUCACCAAGGCGACGAUCAGUAGCGGGUCUGAGAGGAUGAUCCGCCACACUGUGACUGAGACACGGGCCAGACUCCGACGGGAGGAAGCAGUGGGGAAUUUUGGACAAUGGGCGCAAGCCUGAUCCAGCCAUGCCGCGUGUCUGAAGAAGGCCUUCGGGUUGUAAAGGACUUUUGUCCGGGAGCAAAUGCUGGUGGCUAACAUCCACCGGAGCUGAGAGUACCGGAAGAAUAAGCACCGGCUAACUACGUGCCAGCAGCCGCGGUAAAAC